AAUGAACGCUGGCGGGAUGCCUUACACAUGCAAGUCGAACGGUAACGGGUCCUUCGAGAUGCCAACGAGUGGCAAACGGGCGAAUAACAUAUCCGAACGGGCCCUGUAUGGGGGAAUAACUGCUCAAAAGAACAUCUAAUCCCCCAUACAACCUGAGGGUGAACGGGGGGGAUCGCAAGACCUCUCGCAAUUGGAUCGGCCCACAUCAGAUUAGCUAGUUGGUGAGGUAAAGGCCCACCAAGGCAACGAUCUGUAGGUGGUCUGAGAGGACGACCCCCCACACUGGGACUGAGACACGGACCAGACUCCUACGGGAGGCAGCAGUGGGGAAUUUUGGACAAUGGGCGCAAGCCUGAUCCAGCCAUGCCGCGUGCAGGACGACUGCCCUCUGGUUGGAAACUGCCUUUGGCAUGGAAAAAAUCUUCUGGGCUAGUACCCCGGGAGAGAUGACUGUACCAGAAGAAUACGCACUCAGGCUAACUACAUGCCACCAGCCGCGACAAUACGGUAGGGUGCGAGCGCUAAUCUGAAUUACUGGACGGAAACCGUGCGCAGGCGGCUUUGCAAGACAGAUGUGAAGUCCCCUGACUCAACCAGCUGAACUGCCUUUGUGACUGCAAGGCUAGAGUACGGUUGAGGGGGAUGGAAUUCCUCGUGUAGCAGUGAAAUGCGUAGAUAUGCCGAGGAACACCAAUGGCGAAGGCAAUCCCCUGGGACUGUACUGACGCUCAUGCACGAAAGCGUGGGGAGCAAACAGGAUUAGAUACCCUGGUAGUCCACGCCCUAAACGAUGUCAUCUGGUUGUUGGGCGGCUUGGGGUUCAGUGACCAAGCUAACGCGUGAAGUUGGCCGCCUGGGGAGUACGGUCGCAAGGUUGAAACUCAAAGGAAUUGACGGGGACCCGCACAAGCGGUGGAUGAUGUGGUUUAAUUCGAUGCUACGCGAGGAACCUUACCUACCCUUGACAGGUCAAGAAUUGUGCAGGGAUGUGGAAGUUCUUGAAAGAGAACUCGAGCUCAGGCGUGGCAUGGCUGUGGUCAGCUCGUGUGGUGAGAGGUUGGGUCAAGUCCCGCAAGGAGCGCAACCCUUGUCAUUAGUUCAUUCGCAAGAGCACUCUAAUGAGACUGCCGGUGCCAAUCGGGAGGAAGGUGGGGAUGACGUCAGGUCCUCAUGGCCCUUAUGUGUAGGGCCACACACGUCAUACAAUGGCCGGUACAGAGGGCAGCCACCCCGCGAGGGGGAGCCAAUCCCGGAAACCCGUUUGUAGUCCGGAUGGUGUUUUGCAAUUGGCUUGCGGGAAGUGGGAAUCGUUGGUAUUCGCGGUUCAGCUUGCCGCGGUGAAUACGUUCCCGGGUCU
rnacentral:rRNA from 1 species